rnacentral:misc_RNA from 1 species
AAACUCUUUACUUUGUUUUUAUUAGAAUAAAUCAUUUAUUAAGAAUGAACAUUUAAAAAAUUAAAUGUUCAAUUCUACUCCAUUUCCAUCCACAAUCUGAGUGGUGAAAGGAGAGAAUAACUGGAAUUGCCGAUAUAAACACUAAAUGCUAACAGCAAAAUAACUAAGCGAAACUCCCCCACCCACCACUCUGAUAUAUAGAAUCUACUCAAUUUUCAUGGCUAAUACCAUGGUCAUGAGUAUUAGCACCAACUCCUUUUGGGUUAGUAACACGAGGAUCAAUGCCUUCAGCAGAAUUCUCAGAGGAUGCAGACAGAUUCGAAGUCUGGACUGAAAGCUCCCCAAGUCGCUUGAGUAGAUUUCCCUUGACUUGUUCCAAGAAAGCUUUCAAUGUCUCCAGCUCGUCCAAGUUGAGUUCCUCAAUUGGUUUAUCCAACAAUGGCAUGCCCUGAGCCUCUCUCAUUUGCUUUAGCUCCUUUCCUCGCUUCUUUUCAGCUUCCAGUUCUUUCAGCGCAUCUGAAUGCUGCUUGUUAAGCUCACUAAGAGUGGCCUCAUGCUCAGCCAUAUGCUGAGCAAAGUCAGGAUCCGGAUUCCUUGGUUCAGCAUCAGCAAGCCUCUUCAUAAUCGCUUCAAAGCAGGGAUGGCCAAAGGAGAAGGCCUUGCCACCAGGGGAGAAGACAACAAGUGCAGUUUCAACCGUGCUUAAGGUACAAAGUUUGCUGGCCUUCUUGAAGAUGCCAGAUCGGCGCUUUGAAAAAGAAACCUGCCGAGCAUUCCCUCCCUGAAUCAUCUUCAUUUGAGUCUUCUUACGACCCAUGCUUACAACUCCUGCAAUAAAACAACUAAAUGGACAGACGAGUUAAGGAAACUUGAGUAAACAUGAUAAUUUAUAGGGCUUUUAGGUCCUCACUAGCUCUCAAAUCCAUAAACGCCAUUCCUGGAUUGGUCACCUCCAAAUCCUUCCAUAUAUUUCAUUAUGCACGAAAUUAUGAGGAUCCUAUCACUCUUGGGUGAAUAUCUAGGAAAAUCAUAAAUAUAGAAUAUCCUUAGCUGGCAUCCUUAAUUUAUACUUGACGUUUGGUAAUUUAAAUAGAAAUGGAAGUUAAUCCAGAAUAAGCAUAGUAGACUACCAAAGUUACCUAUAGAGAAAAAUUCAAUGCUGGCUGAAUGACUUAAGGACCACAUUAUGCCACUUGAUGGAUUUUUCUCAUCUAAAUUAAGUUCAUCAUGAAUCCAAGACACAAGCAUGCAGGCCCCACAUGCAAAUGAGAUAGGUUUUGCCACAUAUUUUGUGCCAUGGAUCCGUAGUGAAAUGGGCCUAGACAAGAAUUUCCCAUCACUUGACAUUUUCAAACACCAAGAUUUAAGCAUCAUAAAUCAUCCAUCAGUCAAACAUAUCCAACAUCAAUCAAACCAUAUCCAUGACUGUAGGUCACAUACCGAGUUUCUACAUUCCACAUUUAUAAUCUCAACUCAACUCAACUCAA